rnacentral:tRNA from 1 species
AUUUAUAUAGUUUAAAAACAAACAUUACAUUUUCACUGUAAAGAUAAAGAAAACUUUUAUAAAUA